rnacentral:rRNA from 1 species
UACGUAGGCAGCAAGCGUUGUUCGGAAUUACUGGGCGUAAAGAGUGUGUAGGUGGUGUCGUAAGUUUGGUGUGAAAUCUCCCGGCUUAACUGGGAGGGUGCGCUGGAGACUGCGAUGCUGGAGUAUGGGAGAGGAAAGCGGAAUUCCUGGUGUAGCGGUGAAAUGCGUAGAGAUCAGGAGGAACACCUGCGGUGUAGACGGCUUUCUGGACCAUUACUGACGCUGAGACGCGAAAGCGUGGGGAGCAAACAGG